rnacentral:sRNA from 1 species
CGGCGGGAACCUGGUCCGGUGAGAUGAAGUGGAUGUGGGAGUCCACGCCGCCGGCGGUCAGGAUCUUCCGCUCGCCCGCGAUGAUCUCCGUGCUGGCACCGAUCACGAUGUCCACGCCGUCGGUGAUCUGCGGGUUGCCGGCCUUGCCGAUCCGGAAGAUAUGGCCGUCCCGGAGCGCGACGUCGGCCUUGUAGAUCCCGGUGUAAUCCAGGAUCACGACGUUGGUGAUGACGGUGUCCGGAAUGUCUUCCCCCUGGACGUCCCCGUCCCGGGUCAGUUGGCCGUUCUGGCCCAUGCCGUCGCGGAUCA